UCCAAAUAGCCAACUUGACAAAUUAAAUAAAAGAUACAAUACAAAAAAUGGCUAAUACAAUGAAAAUGGUUAACUAUUUAUGCUUAGACUUAUUAGCCAAAUACUCCAUUAGCUCAACACCUCCACUCUCCCCCCCUCCCAAGCUGGAGGGGGAGACCACCUUCAACUUGUACAAAAGAUCAUGAUGUAGCACCUGGAAGGGGUUUAGUGAGAACAUCAGCCAACUAGUCAGAAGAAGCCACAUGAGAAAGCUUAAUCAAACCAUCAUGGAGCUUAGUUCACAUGAAAUGACAAUCAACCUCAAUAUGCUUCGUUCGUUCGUGAAAAACAGGAUUUCUAGCAAUGUGCAAAAGCAGCCUGAUUGUCACAAAAACUAAAAUGGGAAGGGAAACACAAAAUCCAAAGUCACACGUUAGCCUAGAAAACCAAGUAAGUUCCGCUACCACCUUACUCGAGGCCAUGUAUUCUACCUCGGCAGAAGAUAGAGAGACAACUGGUUAUUUUUUAGAUUUCUAGCUAAUGAGACAACCACCCAGAAUAACACAAAAUCCUGUGACAAACCGGCGAGUGUCAGGGCAAGUAGCCCGGUCACUGUCUGAAUACGCAUGGAUAGAGAUAUCACGAGAAGCAUAAUAGAAGAGACCCAAAGUAACAGUUUCUUCGAGAUAUCUCAACACAUGGAGAGUAGAAGCCAUGUGGGAAACCUUGAGAAUCUUCAAAAACUGACUCAAAUGUUGUACAACAAAGCAUAUGCCAGGGCGAGUAUGGAUCAAGAGAAGAAGCUUGCCUACAAGACUCCUAUAUUGAUCACGGAAAGGUAAUAGAUCACCAACAUCUGCAUGCAGCUUACAGUUGAGCUCUAAGGACAGACAACAGGUAAAACAUCUACAAUCAAACUACUAAAGUAAACCAGAGACAAACUUUUUCUGAUUGAGAAGAACCCUACCAGGAACAAUAGAAACCUCAAUACCCAAAAAAUAAUGCAAAAAGCCCAAGUCCUUGAACAUAAAUUGAGCAUCCAAGAAAUUCUUUAAGGAAGAAAUUUCACUAGUAUCAUCCCCAAUAAUAAUAAUGUCAUCUACAUAAACUGCUUAAAGAAUCAAUCUGCCAGGAGUAACCUUGAUGAACAAUGAAUAGUCAUUGAGUGAAUGAGUAUAACCCCUAGAAUAGAGGGCUUGAGAGAGCUUGGCGUACCAGUUUCUUGAUGUCUGUCAAAGGCCAUAGAGGUACUUUCUCAAUUUGCAAACAAGAGGGGUAGAACUGGAAGGAACAGAAAUAGACAAACCCUGGAGUAACUUCAUAUAGACUUCCUCAUCUAGAUCUACAUGAAGAAAAGUAUUGUUGACAUCUAACUGAGAAAGAGACCAAUUAUGUUUGAUAGCUACAAUUAUUAGCCAUUUAAUAGUGGCAUUUUUACUACAUGAUAAAAGGUUUUUGUGAAGUCAACACCUUCAACCUGGGUGUUCCUCCUAAUAACAAAUUUUUAUAUUUCUACACUCCCAUCAGCCUUGUACAUUUCGUAGACCCACUUGCAACCUAUAGGUUUUUUACCAGAAGGUAAAGGCACGAUGUCUCAAGUGUGAUUUGCAUCCAAAGCAUCAAAUUCCUUCUCAUGGCAUCUUGCCAUGCUGGAACUGAGGCAGCUUGAGAAUAAUUGAAAGGUUCAAUUUCUACCGGAAGCAAAUAACAAGAACCAGAAAAUGAAGGAAGUUGGCAAACAUAAUCCUUCAAAUAAGAAGGAGUAGUGUGUUUCUUGGAAUACUUUCUAAGUACUGGAUGAUGAGGAGAUGACUGACUAGGCAGAUCGUGAUGAAAAGAAUGUAAAGGAGAAUGGAUAGGAGAAGGAGUAUCAGGUUCAAGGAUAGUAACAGUUGAGUUAGGAGAGACACGAGGAGAAGAAGUAGGAGAAGAUGAAGAAGGUAUAGGAUCUUGAUAAAUGGUAGAAGAAGGAUAAGAAGAAAGUACAGUGGAAGGAACAGAAAGUAUAGUGGAAGGAACAGAAGAAGCAGAAGUAGCAAAAGGGAAGCUGGUUUCAUGGAAAAUCACAUCCCUAAAAAUGAAGCAUUUCUUAGUGGUGAGAUUGUAUAAUUUGUAACAUUUUUUAACAAAAGGAUAACCCAGAAAGACACAUGGAAUAGCCCUAGGUUGUAGUUUGUCUCUUUGAGGAAUAGGAACAAUGGCAUAAGCCAGACAUCCAAAGGUUCUUAAGUGGGAAUAAGUAGGAAGUUUUCCAUAUAAUACCUCAUAGGAUGACUUGUUUUUAAUAAUUCUGGAUAGUAUUCUGUUUAGUAAAUAUGUGGCAGUUAAAAGAUAAUCUCCCCAAAAGGUGAUAAGCAGUUUGGAUUGAAACAAUAAGGAUAUACAUGCUUAAAGAAGUAUUUUGUGUUUCCUUUCUACAACCUCAUUUUGUCGUGGGGUGUGUGGACAGGUAGUUUGGUGAAUGAUACCAAUUUGACUAAAAAAGAAAGAGCCAACAGUGAUGGAGCCCAGUUCCAAUGCAUUGUCACUUCUAAUGGUCUGGGCAUGUGUAUGGAAUUGAGUUUGGACCAUUGUUAUAAAAGCCUUGAUCAUAGAGAAAGCAUUAUUUUUCGAUGCCAAUAGAUGAGUCCAGGUGGCUCUUUAAAAAUCAUCAAUAAUGGUAAGAAAAUACCUUGAACCAGAUGAACUAGUUCCCCUUGUUCAACAUGAAUCAACUGAAAAGGUCUAGCAGUACUAAUAGAACUAUCAAGAAAAGGAAGUCUAGUUUGUCUAGCCAUAGGGCAAACAGAACAAGGACAAAACUAUCUAGAAGAAAGAAAAGAAGACAGAACAUGAAUAUGUUUAAUAUUUGCAAAAGUAAUAUGUGCCAAUCUUUGAUGCCAAAUCAAAUUCAUAGCAGCAUUAUUUCUCAGAGAAGAACUAAGGCUAGAGACAUUUGUACGACUGGAAAGAGAAAUAGAUUUGCAAGAGUCUAUUAUAGGACAUAAAUAAAUAGUGUUGCAUGAAUUUGAAGUCGAAGGAAUAGAAGAAUCUGAUGGUUGCACCUAAGUGGACUUGUACAAGUCAUCCUCCUCUUUAACAAGAUCCAAAGGCAUCUUCAGAGAAGGGGCAUGUGACAUGUGCAACAAACAAGAAAUGGCAGUAAAUAACUCUAUGUACUGUAGUUGUUUGGUUAACAUGUGAAUAGAGAUUAGGUUAUGUUGAAAUUAAGGAAAAAAUAACACAUUAUGAAGGGUUAUUGAUAGAGUCAAAGAAAAAGAACCAGUGGAGGUUACUUUCACUUUGUAUCCAUUAUGAAGAAUUACAAGGUAUGGAAUGGUUAAGGGUGUGAUGUCAAAAAGUAAUUCUUUAUUAGAAGUCAUGUGAUUAGAAGCACCUGAAUCUAUUAUCCGCGUAACAGAAUGGAUUUCAGUAAGCAAGAAAAGCUUAGGAUUAGAAAAUGGGCUUUUAAUUAAUAAAGUACUAGCAAAAUUAGCAGAGCAUAUGAGAUUGGCUUGAGACUUGGAAGAAUCCCCCAUAUGAGACUGUUGUAAGAGGUUAAUCAACUGAUCAUAUUGCUGCUUGAUCAGACUUGGGAUUAUGGAUCCCUGACCAUUAAUAUUGGAAGCAACAACAGCAGGAUUAGUUCCCUCAUCCAAAGACCCAACAAAUUUUAGGAUAUUACCCUCAAAGUUAGCGUGAACUGCAGUAGAUACAUGAGUUGCAGUAUAUUUAACCUUGUUAAACUUUGGACUUUGGGGAUACCCGUGUAGUUUAUAAUACUUGUUAAUGAAAUUACCAGAUUUCUUGUAGUACUUACCGAAAAAAGGUGCUCUAUUCUGAUCAAAAUUAACUCUUGGUGCAUAUGAUUUGAGAGGAGUGGGAUUGGAGUCUUGCUAGUAUUGAAACCAAAACCAAAAGUAGGCCUACUUUGUGUAAUAACAUUGAAUGACAUAGAGUCGGGUUGAAUUGAGUUGGGCUGAACUUGUCUCUGUUUUUCAUCAUUUAGAAGAAUAUUAUAAGCAUUGUCAAGGCUAGGAGGAGGUUGCAUCAUAAGAAGAUUACUCCUCACCCUCGUAUAUGAUUCAACCUUAUGAGGAAUUGAAAUAGCUUAUUAUCCUCAUCUUCUUGCAAAAUACCAGGCUUUGCAGCACAAACACACCUUUGACCAUGGUUAGCACAUAUCACUCCUGAUUCAUCCCAUAACCUCUUCAAUUUAUUGAAAUAUGAGGCUAUAUCUAAAGAACCUUCGGAAGUGUAGGCAAGGUCUCUUUAUAACUCAAUUAUUUGGUCCUAUUUGCAGUCUCAUACCUAGUUUGUAAUUGGACCCAAAUACUCCAAGCAAUUUCAUAUAUUAUACACUCUCAGCUAUCUCAGGGGAUAAGGAGGCUGUCAACCAUGAGAUUACCAUGUUGUUGCACCUAUCCCAUAAUUUCCGUUUAGCCCCAUCAGUAACAUGUCGAGAUCAUGUACCAUCAACAAAAGCUAUUUGUUUUUAGCAGACAAAGCGACUAUUAUUUUUCCCCUCCAACCCCCAAAACCAGUACUCAAAAAAGGAACAGGAACUAAUGAAAUUCCAGGAAUAUCAGAUAAAUGUACAAAUAACGGACUUGAAGGACCAAGAGAUAAAUUAUCAAUGGAACCCAUGUCUAUCACACAGUACCAAUAGAUUGACAAAUAUAGAGAAUAAAGUCACAAAAGAAAUUCCAAUAGAAAAAUUGCAUGCAACAGUCCUAAAAGCAAGGAUAAGAACGAAUUUAAGCUUCUUCGCUACCGGAGAAGAAGGGCCUUCAAAUAAUAGCUAACCUAGCUUCAAUUGCUGGGCAGCUCAAAUUCUUCAAACUUCAACAAAAAAUGUCGGAAAUAACCCUAACGCUGGUCUCAAAAUCCAAAUCGGCGGAAAGAAUUUUUUCUCUGAAAGAAUAGAAAUACCUGAUUUUCAAACUAUCGGAGAUCGAAAAUCAAUCAAAAUUGAACGAGGUAGAUCGGAAGCUCAAAAUACACCAGAAUCGGUGCUUUGAUACCAUGAAAACAUUGUGAUUUGAGUGAGAAAUGAGAAAUUUUGUUUUAGGAUUUUAGAGAGAGAAACGGGUUUCUUCCAUUUUCUG
rnacentral:lncRNA from 1 species